CUGAUACUUCCUCCGUCCGGAAAUACUUGUCAUCGGAAUGGAUGAAAAUAGAUGUAUCUAGAACUAAAAUACAUCUAGAUACAACUAUUUCAAUGACAUUCCGGGCGGAGGGAGUACUUG
rfam:Triticum aestivum genome assembly, contig: Triticum_aestivum_CS42_TGACv1_scaffold_221018_3B